rnacentral:rRNA from 1 species
GUAAAGGCGCCCGAUGCGGGACGCUCAUGAGAUCCUAUGAAGGGUGUUUGUUGCUUAAGGCAGUAGGACGGUGGGCAUGGAAGUCGGAACCCGCUAAGGAUUGUGUAACAACCCACCUGCCGAAGCAACUAGCCCCGAAAAUGGAUGGCACUUUAGUGUCGAGCCUAUAU